rnacentral:rRNA from 1 species
UACAGAGGGUGCGAGCGUUGUCCGGAAUCAUUGGGCGUAAAGCGCGUGUAGGCGGUCCGGUAAGUCCGCUGUGAAAGUCGGGGGCUCAACCCUCGAAAGCCGGUGGAUACUGUCGGGCUAGAGUGCGGAAGAGGCGAGUGGAAUUCCUGGUGUAGCGGUGAAAUGCGCAGAUAUCAGGAGGAACACCAAUUGCGAAGGCAGCUCGCUGGGACGUUACUGACGCUGAGACGCGAAAGCGUGGGGAGCAAACAGG